rnacentral:lncRNA from 1 species
UCAAAUGCUUGUUGACUGAAUUCCAGUUUUGCCACAGAGCUAUCCCCAACACCCAGGAGGGUGAUGAUGCUUCACCCUAACAGUGGCGCCUUCCUUCUUCCCAAAGCAGCCUCCAAAGCUUCAAGCUGCGAACUGCGCCUUCACACCACCUUCUGUGGCUUUGGGAGUCAAGGGGAGAAUUCACAGUACUUUGGAAAACACAUUUUCUUUUAAGGAAGAAUUUUUUGUUUUCAUUUCAAACAGCCCUGGCUGGUGACGAGUGGUGAGGAAAGGUGCCCUGUUUUCCAUCCUCACACCUAUUUUCAGGUGGGGGCAGGGAAGGCUCAGGCCCAAAAUGUUAUUUCAAAA